rnacentral:rRNA from 1 species
AUUGAACGCUGGCGGCAGGCUUAACACAUGCAAGUCGAGCGGGGUGAUGGUGCUUGCACUAUCACUUAGCGGCGGACGGGUGAGUAAUGCUUAGGAAUCUGCCUAUUAGUGGGGGACAACAUCUCGAAAGGGAUGCUAAUACCGCAUACGUCCUACGGGAGAAAGCAGGGGAUCACUUGUGACCUUGCGCUAAUAGAUGAGCCUAAGUCGGAUUAGCUAGUUGGUGGGGUAAAGGCCUACCAAGGCGACGAUCUGUAGCGGGUCUGAGAGGAUGAUCCGCCACACUGGAACUGAGACACGGCCCAGACUCCUACGGGAGGCAGCGGUGGGGAAUAUUGGACAAUGGGGGGAACCCUGAUCCAGCCAUGCCGCUUGUGUGAAGAAUGCCUUAUGGUUGUAAAGCACUUUAAGCGAGGAGGAGGCUCUUUUGGUUAAUACCCAAGAUGAGUGGACGUUACUCGCAGAAUAAGCACCGGCUAACUCUGUGCCAGCAGCCGCCGUAA